rnacentral:rRNA from 1 species
UGGUGGAGUGAUUUGUCUGGUUGAUUCCGUUAACGAACGAGACCUCAGCCUGCUAAAUAGUGAUACUUAUCGCAAGAUAGGCAUCGACUUCUUAGAGGGACAUAUCGGGUUUACCGGUAGGAAGUUUGAGGCAAUAACA